UACGUAGGAGGCAAGCGUUGUCCGGAGUUACUGGGCGUAAAGCGCACGCAGGCGGUCUUGUCAGUCUGUAGGGACAGGGCACGGCUCAACCGUGUCAGGCUUAUGGAAACUGCAAGACUUGAGGGCUUCAGAGGGAUGGGGAAUUCCGGGUGGAGUGGUGAAAUGCGUAGAGAUCCGGAAGAACACCAAAGGCGAAGGCACCAUCCUGGGGAGUCACUGACGCUCGGGUGCGAAAGCUAGGGGAGCGAACGGG
rnacentral:rRNA from 1 species